AAGUCGUAACAAGGUUUCCGUAGGUGAACCUGCGGAAGGAUCAUUAAAGAGUUAGGGGCCUCGCCCCGAACCUCCAACCCAAUGCGAACCUUACCACCGUUGCUUUGGCGGGCCCGCGGGUCCAACCGCCGCCCGCCUUACCGCCGGCGAGCGCCCGCCAGAGUCCAUCCAAACUCGUUUGAUAGUGACGUCUGAGAAAAUAUUUAAUAGCAAAAAACUUUCAACAACGGAUCUCUUGGUUCUGGCAUCGAUGAAGAACGCAGCGAAAUGCGAUAAGUAAUGUGAAUUGCAGANUUCAGUGAAUCAUCGAAUCUUUGAACGCACAUUGCGCCCUCUGGUAUUCUGGGGGGCAUGCCUGUUCGAGCGUCAUUACAACCCUCAAGCCUGGCUUGGUAUUGGGCGCCGUCCCCCGGGGCGCGCCUGGAAAGCAGCGGCGGUNCGGCCGGUGAUCGAGCGUAGUAACUACUCCCGCUUCGAGCCACCCGGGCGUUCCAGCCGGACAACGUCUAUUUUUCAAUGGUUGACCUCGGAUCAGGUAGGGAUACCCGCUGAACUUAAGCAUAUCAAUAAGCGGAGGAAAAGAAACCAACAGGGAUUGCCUCAGUAACGGCGAGUGAAGCGGCAACAGCUCAAAUUUGAAAUCUGGCCUCGCGGUCCGAGUUGUAAUUUGCAGAGGAAGUCUCGGGUGCGGCACCGGUCUAAGUUCCUUGGAACAGGACGUCAUAGAGGGUGAGAAUCCCGUAUGUGACCGGCCGCCANUCCCAUGUGAGGCUCCUUCGACGAGUCGAGUUGUUUGGGAAUGCAGCUCAAAAUGGGUGGUAAAUUUCAUCUAAAGCUAAAUACCGGCCAGAGACCGAUAGCGCACAAGUAGAGUGAUCGAAAGAUGAAAAGCACUUUGGAAAGAGAGUUAAAAAGUACGUGAAAUUGUUGAAAGGGAAGCGCUUGCGACCAGACUUGCCCGCGGGUGAUCAACCGUCCUUCGGGGCGGUGCACUCGCCCGUGGUCAGGCCAGCAUCGGUUUUGGCGGCCGGAUAAAGGCCCCGGGAACGUGGCUCCUUUCGGGGAGCGUUAUAGCCCGGGGUGCAAUGCGGCCAGCCGGGACCGAGGACCGCGCUUCGGCUAGGAUGCUGGCGUAAUGGUCGUAAGCGACC
rnacentral:rRNA from 1 species